rnacentral:lncRNA from 1 species
CCCAUUUGGACAUGAUUGAGGUGUCUCAACUCAUUUCCCCACCUCAUAGCCCUCAGUUGACUCCACAGUUGACUUUUGGUCCUCAGAUGACCUUGAAAUGUCUUGAUUAACUUGAGUCUCUACCACUUGGUGAAAUUGCUUCAAAAUGAAACCCUAACUCAUGUAAGCUCCUUAUAAUAAUCAUGUGAUCCUCAUCCCAAGAAAAUACCUCAUCU